rnacentral:lncRNA from 1 species
GUGCUUUCUCCAUCUUGCUAAUCCAAGAACAUUUCUUUUACAGGGCAUGUGUUUUAGGAAAGUCUCUGAGGAUUGUGCACUUGUGAUGUACAAGACCAAGAAGAAUUGAAGACUCUGCUCAGAGAUGAAUACCAAAAGCCAUGUGGUAUAGAGAGGUGGCUGUGAAGUCAGGAAGACCAGGAUUCAGGUUUUGGGUCUAAGACAUGCUAGUUGCUCAUCCCUGGACACAUCCUGAGACCAGCACUUUUCACUUUUCCAGCUUGGUGGGAGAUAGGGAAGCUUAUGCCCUUCCAAUAUGGCCUCGGUAAAGUCAAAAGCACCAUCAAGAGAUAGUAGAGGAGGCCCAGAGAGAAGAAAGAUGUUUCUUGAGAAAAUAGAUUCCAGUUAGAGGGGACAUAAAGACCAAAAAGCCUGCUGGAAUUCCCAUCCUUUCAUCUCUACUGAGGCAAACUACAGAUCAUGUUGUACUUGUAAAUAAAUGGCAGAAUUGAGAAAGAA